UGCUCCCUCCGCCCACGGCGGGGGGAGCCCAGAUGAAGCAGCCCUGGGAGCGCAACUUGGAGAAAGAGGUGACACUGACGCAGAAACCUGUGGACUCCAAGAAUCUGAGGUCAUCAUAGCAAAACUGACUCUGAGGAAAGAGUGCCACCUACUGAAUCAAAUCGCCCAG